rnacentral:lncRNA from 1 species
CUCUGCUGCGGUUCAUUCGCUCCAAUUACCUACAGUUUGAAUUGAACCUUCCUACUUCAAAUAAACGUGUUACAAAUGCGUACGAUAUAUUUUUCAGAGAAAAGGACUUCAAAUUGAAACUCACAGGAAUACGGAGAAGCUCAUUUUGAGACUAAUAGUUAAAAAAAAUCCGAUUGUUAUCGGAAAUUGACGGGAAAGUAAACGUAAUUCCACUAUUAAUGGCGCCUCCUCAAGAUGGCAAAGCAGCUGAAGUCAAAGAGGAAUCUGUACCUCAACGCCCAAUCUCCGAUGUCGUUUUCAUUAUUGGUACUCCAUUUUUCUAUAUAUAUUUUGAGAUUUUUUUGUGUUUGUUAGUAUGUAUUUAUAUGCUAACUUCUUUGUGUGUGUGUGUGAAUGGUGAAUAGCUAUGAAGAAGGAGGCUUCACCUCUAGUGGAGAAGUUCCAGCUCACCGAAGAAUCCAAUUCUCUGUGGGCCUUCUUUUUUUAUUUAAGCUUUAUAAGUAAUUUAGUUCAGUUGAGAUCCGACCAAAAAAAAAAAAAAACUGAGAAAAAUGAGGAUUGGGAAAAAGUAAAGGAGACUGACUGUCUCGUACAAUUUGUACUGGUGAUCUUUGGAAAGUUUAAGCCUACUGUAGUGAUAAGUGGAAUUUAAUAACGACUCGUUUAUUUAUGCUCAGUCAUUGUUGGAUUUAAAAUAAAUUAAUUGGAAAAGAAUGUGUUUUGUUAUAUUGUUGCCAUUCUACAAGUGGCCGUUACCCUUUUAUGAUUUGUUUUAUCUAUUAUCAUUUUGUGAAAAUGAUGCAGGUUUCCAAAGGGGGUCCCGUGGGUGAGGUACAGUGGAAAAUAUAAAGAUCUGAAUAUCAACAUUGUUUCCCCUGGAAAAGACAUAGUUUUGGGUCUCUCUCUCUCUUUCCUCCUUAAUUCUUGAUGGCAUGUUAUGGAUUUUGAUUUUGUUACGUGAAUUGUUUUCAGUCUCUGGUAUAUGUGUUCACUAUUAAGCCUAAUCUGCUUAUUUCUAGAUAUUUUGUCAUUUUGGCCCUAUUGUGAUGAUAAGAUUCUUUGAAAAGAUUUGAACAUAUUUUCUCCGAAACUAAAUAAAAUUAAGUACCAUGUAGUUAAGAGCGAUCAAUAAACCUUAUCCUUGGGCCAUUCAAUAUUUUUUCAUCCAGGGGUGGCGGUGGGUAGGGGGAUUGGUAUCGGAGGAAUCACUAUGAAAGUGGUUGAUCAUUCUUGAGUAUAUGUUAUUUUUAGUAGAGGAAGAAGGUAUGCAGUCACAUUAAGUUCUGUAACUGGAUUAUGAAUAUUGUGAUGCAUUAUGCAGUUUAAGGAGCUUUGUUGUUAUUUGUUGCCAUUGUUGGUUAGUCACCACAGUGAAUUUCCGACCGCUGUGUUCUUAAUUGUUUCUUUAUCAGGUGUUGACAGCGUAGGCACAGUUUCUGCAUCACUUAUAACUUAUGCUUCUAUUCAAGCAUUGCAACCAGACCUUAUCAUAAAUGCAGGCACUGCUGGAGGUUUCAAGGUAUUAUGAAUGCGGAUAUGAUGGCUUUCAUUUUUUUAUUUUUAUUUUUUAGAUGUGUUGAUCUUCUGAACCUUAUCAUAAUUGUUUAUAUUUCCAUCCUCCUUUUUCCAUGUGGCAUUUAUCGAUUCUGCUGCUGAUAGUUUUUUUCAUAUAUGUAAAAUUUGCCCUGGUUCCUUCCUUUCUUAUUCUUUUAACCAAUUUCUUUAGAUAUUUUCUUUUUCUUUUUCUUUUUCUUUUUCUAUUUUUACUUGUACUUUCUAUUUCCCUCUGUUGUUUGUUGUCUGACUGAUUCUGUAUUUAUAUGGACACCAAAAUGUUAAAACUUCUUUCCUAAAAAGUCAAUGUCACGUUUUCAGUAAAGAAUUUGAUUUAUUUCUUUGUGUUAUGACAUUUUACGCACAUUUUAGGUUCUGGCUUCCUUCGACUUGUACUAGAUGGAAUCUAUUACCUUGCUGAUAUAGAAGUUACAGUCAUAUCUUAAAUAUAGGAUAACAAAGUCACACUUACUACAGAGAGUGUUUAAUCACUCUUUUGUUGCAUAUCUUAUAUUGAUAUCUAGAUUUUACCAGGCAAAAGGUGCUUGCAUAGGUGAUGUAUACCUUGCAUCAGAUGUUGCUUUCCAUGACCGAAGAAUUCCUAUCCCUGUAAGUUUUUCCGUCUUUAUUUUUCCUCAUUUAUUUUUUCCUGGUGCAUGGCUGGGGCAGAUACAAUUAGACAUCAUCAAAUGAAAGCAACACCAAAUUUAUUGGGAACAGAAAACAAGGCUCAAUUUUUUGUUACAUAUACACAUCGUAGGGGAAAAAUAUACUUUAUUGUGUUCUCAAUUUGUUGUUUAUAGGAGCCCAGUAGUAAUGAAAACUGAAGAAGGGUUCCAUUCUUUUAAGGUUGUGGCAUGCACUAAUUUGCUGGUAGAGAAUUGAUUUCUAGAUCACUUUACUAGGUUGGCUUAUGAAGUGAUAUACAUAUUAGACUACUUGAAUUCUAAUAUUUGGUAAAGUUUCUUCUGUUACUGUGAGAAAGUUGUUUUAUGUUUUGUCAGGCUGUCUUUCAAUUUAACUUCUAUGUUACUUUUUUUUUGUCCAUGUUUUAUUGGAAACAAUUGAAGCUUCCAAAUAUAAUAUAUUGUUUAUAUUAAGAAAAUAUAUGUAGAAAUUUAGUGGCAAUUACGCCAUGAGUCUAUUGCAUUACUAAUGGUAAGAAUUCGAACAUCUCAAAUUUGGGAAGUCACGGCGAUAGAGCAAGUCAUUGAAUGUCCUAGCUAAUCCUUUACAUUGGAUACCUCGUAGUAUUGCUGGUGUCCAAAAGACCUUUGCUAGAAUGGAUCAGUUUGCUGGAGUUUAUCCAGUUGUUUUAUGCUCGUUAUGUACUAGUACUUGUGCAUCUUGAUCUGUUCUUCGCAGUUUAACUUCAUUGUUAUCCAGUUACCUCCACUUUACCGGUUAGGGUUGGGCAAAACUUUCGAACCGAACUGUACCCGAACCGAGCGGUUCUUAUUAAAUUAAAUACCCAAACGGGUAACCGAAUCGAGAAUUGAGGGGUUCAAUUUGGUUCUCGAUUCUAGAUCAAUAAUUGAAUAACCGAAUAAGAACCGAAUUUUCCUAAUUUUUUAAAUUUAUUUAUUUUAAAUAAGCCAAAUUAUUUUAUUUUUUCUAAAUAAAUUUGCUAACUAGUUUUUUUAGCUCAACCCAAAAAUAUGAUUUUCCUAUCUCUAAUUUUCAGUCCAAGUCCAACUUACAAGUCCAACUUAAAUUAAAUUGACCCAAUUUUUAUCCAAAUAUGUUAUUUUACUAUAAUGUCGUUUCUACCAUUCUGGAGAUAUUGAAUUGAAACUCGAUAACGUCUCUCUUAAUUAUUAUGAGCUUGCUAUCUUCCUCUUCUUGUGAUUUUAACAAUCAAAAUUAUGAAGAGCUCAACAAAGAUAAACAUAAAAGAUAUACAAGAUUGGACUACGUUAUUUUGUAAGAGCUAAGAUUGAACAUGCUUUGUAAAUAUUAAAAAAAUUAAUUAUAGUACAGAACUUGAAAAUCGAACUGAACUGAAUGGAACCAAAUCCGAACGGUUCCAUAAUUAAAUUUGGACUCGACGGUUCUACUUACUAAAUACCCGAAAAUUUCGGGACCUAUUCGGUUCUCGUUAGAACAGAACCGAAUCGGACGAUGCCCAACCCUAUUAUCGGUUAUAUACAGGUCAUUUACUAUCUAUUUGAAGCAGUAGUCGUCUGCACCCAAAAAUGUUUAUCUAUGUCUACAACCAUAUAUCGAGUUCAUUUACUUUAAGAUUAAUGUGAAUCGUGCUAUUGUUUUGGAUAACAUCUUAACCUUAACGUGACUUCUUUCAAUCUGCAGGUAUUUGACCUGUAUGGUGUAGGCACACGACAAGCGUGCUCAACCCCCAAUCUUGCGAAGGAGCUA